AGGCACGCUACCACAGCCAUGAAGGAACGCUCGGACAUCUUUUUGCUGCAGGUUCUGUAGUUGUUUAUAUGGACUUGAUUGCUCUGGAAGUUAUGAUGAUUGCCUUCCACAGGGAGGCUGGACGUGACCCACGAAUUAAUUCUCAGGAAUAAAGGUUCUGUAGUUGUUCAUAUGGACUUGAUUGCUCUGGAAGUUAUGAAGAUUGCCUUCCCCA